CUAACAAGGAUUCCCCUAGUAACGGCGAGUGAAGCGGGAUGAGCUCAGUAUGUUAAUCGACGUGUCAUAGCGUUGAAUUGUGGUUUAUAGAAGCAUUGUCGGCCGUGAAUCCGGGCCAAGUCUCUUGGAAAAGGGCAGCUGAGUGGGUGAAACUCCCGUUCUUGCCUGGAAUCAUUGCGCUCUAGCACAUGCUUUCUACGAGUCGAGUUGCUUGGGAUUGCAGCUCAAAUUUGGUGGUAAAUUCCAUCUAAAGCUAAAUAUUGGUGGGACACCGAUAGUGUACAAGUACCGUGAGGGAAAGAUGCAAAGAACUUUGAAAAGAGAGUUAAAGAGUACCUGAAAUUGUUAAAAGGGAAGCGAAUGAAACAAGUGUAAAGCGAAUCCAUUCUUCCUAAGCCACUUGUGGUUUGGGCGCUGUGGUUAGCUGUACUCAUGCUGGGCUUGACUUGGGGCAAACGUUUAGUGAGUAGACGACUCCUCGGAGUGAGUGCUCACUUUUCAUAUCCUGGGUCGGGCUGAGGUCAGUCACUCUGUGCUCGUGAUGCAUGAGGAAAUUGUUUUAUUUACCCCGUCUUGAAACACGGACCAAGGA
rnacentral:rRNA from 1 species